rnacentral:rRNA from 1 species
UACAGAGACUGCAAGCGUUUAUUCGGAUUCACUGGGCGUAAAGGGUGCGCAGGCGGCCAAGUGUGUGAGGCGUGAAAGCCCGGGGCUUAACCCCGGAAUUGCACCUCAAACUACUUGGCUAGAGCAUUGGAGAGGGUAGCAGAAUUUACGGUGUAGCAGUGAAAUGCGUAGAUAUCGUGAGGAAUACCAGAGGCGAAGGCGGCUACCUGGACAAUUGCUGACGCUCGGGCACGAAAGCGUGGGGGAGCAAAAGG